GGCUAACGCUGGCGGCGUGUCUUAGCCAUGCAAGUCGAGCGGACUUAUGGGGUAACUUAUAAGUCAGCGGCGGACGGCGGAGUAACACGUAGCUAACCUACCCUCUGGACGGGGAUAACCUACCGAAAGGUGGGCUAAUACCCGAUGUAGUCAUCCUGUAUAGGGGUGAUGAAAGGUGGGCUUCUGUUUACAAGCUCAUGCUGGAGGAGGGGGCUGCGGCCUAUCAGGUAGUUGGUAGGGUAAUAGCCUACCAAGCCGAUGACGGGUAGCCGGCCUGAGAGGGUGACCGGCCCGAGGGGCACUGAGAUACGGGUCCCACUCCUACGGGAGGCAGCAGGCUAGAAAUUUGGGCAAUGGGGGAAACCCUGACCCAGUGACGCCGCGUGCAGGAAGGAGCCCUUCGGGGUGUAAACUGCUGUCGUGUAGGGAGAAGGGUACUAAGGUGAACAAUCUUAGUACUUGACGGUACUACAGGAGGAAGCCCAGGCUAACCUCGUG
rnacentral:rRNA from 1 species